rnacentral:rRNA from 1 species
UGCCUCCUACGGGGGGCAGCAGUCGGGAAUAUUGCGCAAUGGAGGAAACUCUGACGCAGUGACGCCGCGUAUAGGAAGAAGGUUUUCGGAUUGUAAACUAUUGUCGUUAGGGAAGAUAAAAGACUGUACCUAAGGAGGAAGCCCCGGCUAACUAUGUGCCAGCAGCCGCGGUAAUACAUCGGGGGCAAGCGUUAUCCGGAUUUAUUGGGUGUAAAGGGAGCGUAGACGGCAGAGCAAGUCU